rnacentral:rRNA from 1 species
ACUAGAUCUAGCCCACACUCCCCCCCCCCCNNNNNNNNNCAUCACAGACAAAUCAAAUAAAGCAUUCACCACCCAUUCAAAGUAUAGGAGAUAGAAAUCCAAAUCACUAGUGGCGCUAUAGAGAAAGUACCGUAAGGGAAAGAUGAAAGAUAUCCUAAAAGUAAAAAAAAGCAAAGCUUACCCCUUGUACCUUUUGCAUAAUGAAUUAACUAGUAGUAACUUAGCAAAGAGACCUUUAGUUAAACUACCCGAAACCAGACGAGCUACUUACGAACAGUACCUAGAACGAACUCAUCUAUGUGGCAAAAUAGUGAGAAGAUUUGUAAGUAGAGGUGAAAAGCCUAACGAGCCUGGUGAUAGCUGGUUGUCCAAGAAAAGAAUCUCAGUUCAACAUUAAACAGUACCAAGAACCCCCUGAAGUUCCAAUGUAUGUUUAACUGUUAGUCUAAAAAGGUACAGCUUUUUAGAAAUGGGUACAACCUUAACUAGAGAGUAAAACAGACACACACAUGCCAUAGUUGGCUUAAAAGCAGCCAUCAAUUAAGAAAGCGUUCAAGCUCAACAAUAAAACUGUGUUAUAAUCCCAACAAUAACAAAUCAACUCCUAGUAUAAUUAUUGGACUAAUCUAUAUAAUUAUAGAAGCAAUACUGUUAACAUGAGUAACAAGAAAACUUUUUCUCCUCGCACAAGCUUACAUCAGUAACUGAUACUACACUGAUAGUUAACAGCCAAUAAAUAAAACCCAACGCCAAGCCAUUUAUUAAGCCCACUGUUAACCCAACACAGGCGUGCACCAAGGAAAGAUUAAAAAAAGUAAAAGGAACUCGGCAAACACAAACCUCGCCUGUUUACCAAAAACAUCACCUCUAGCAUAACCAGUAUUAGAGGCACUGCCUGCCCAGUGACUGAUAGUUAAACGGCCGCGGUAUCCUGACCGUGCAAAGGUAGCAUAAUCACUUGUUCUCUAAAUAAGGACUUGUAUGAACGGCCACACGAAGGUUUUACUGUCUCUUACUUUUAAUCAGUGAAAUUGACCUUCCCGUGAAGAGGCGGGAAUAACAAAACAAGACGAGAAGACCCUAUGGAGCUUCAAUUAAUCAACCCAAUAACCCACAACCUCAAACCACCAAGGGAUAAAAAAAACUUAUAUGGGUUGACAAUUUCGGUUGGGGUGACCUCGGAGCACAAAAACCCCUCCGAGUGAUUAAAGCCUAGGCCUACCAGCCAAAGCAUAACAUCACUUAUUGAUCCAAAGCUUUGAUCAACGGAACAAGUUACCCUAGGGAUAACAGCGCAAUCCUAUUCUAGAGUCCAUAUCGACAAUAGGGUUUACGACCUCGAUGUUGGAUCAGGACAUCCUAAUGGUGCAGCCGCUAUUAAGGGUUCGUUUGUUCAACGAUUAAAGUCCUACGUGAUCUGAGUUCAGACCGGAGCAAUCCAGGUCGGUUUCUAUCUGUUGCGCAUUUCUCCCAGUACGAAAGGACAAGAGAAAUAAGGCCAACUUUACACACGCGCCUUCAAAUAACUAAUGAUCUAAUCUUAAUUAAACAAACAAGCGCAAACUAACCCUGCCCAAGACCAGGGCAUU